UUAACAUAUUGAUCAUGGACAUUUCGAACAUACGUCGCAUUAUAUGCUUUAGUUCGGUACCCAUUGGUGGUCUUCCCAUUGGGGAUUGCAUGGAGAUGGGAAUUACAGAGCUCUUCUCGGUCGUUAAGUCUCUGAUCAGCCAGCAGCGUGUUGUAAAGUAUUGUAUAGGAGUAUAUAAAAAAAAUGCCUAAGUGAAAAUUAAACCAAAAAAGUGAACUGCAUGGUACCCCAAGUCACACAGGUGGGAGAUCGGAGAUCGGUUUUACUUUCAUUAUUUUUCGCUGUCAAUUUUUUGCAACUUUCAGUAGAGUGAGACUCACAAAACGGCUGCUUUGAGAGGCUUCACCUGUCUCAGCCACUGGUUGUGGUUUCCACAUCCAGGAAAUAUACACAACACAAUAUGAUAAUAUACGCAACAUGUUUCUAUUUGGUUUUUUUCCCAGUGGUGAAUUCGAAACUGAGCAGAGAUUGUCACUCAAGUGACGAUGUUAGGCUUCUGUUGUUGUUUUCUCACGAUUUUCCUCAAUCACAACUCUGCGACAAUAUAAUAUAUAGACACAAACACACCGUAUGGCUCACGUAGAAUCACAGUUUUAAAUAUGUUGGGUGUUUUGGCUCUCUCCGUCAAAAAGGUUCCCGACCCCUGAUCUAAAGGCUGGAUUUCUUGGCAGGGAAAACCAAAGUUACAUGUUCUUUAUCACCCCAUCAGCAAAAAUAGAGUAGAACAGAAUCAUACCAAUUUUAUAUGGAAGUAUCAACACAAAAGCCACAUUUUAAAAUGUGAGACAACCUAAGAUGAUAAGACAACAACACAACAGCACCCUUUUCAGAAAUAACUAGUUCCUACGUCAAUGCUGAAACAUGUUCUUCGGUUACGACACGCUUCUGCAUAGCUGGCAAUUCAAUAUGGUACUUAAAUUGUUGAAAUUAGAUUACUCACCAGCAGAUAAAUCCUGGUUUGCGUGUUUGAAAAGCAUUCCCUCCACUCAGAGUUCCUUUUUUGGCACUGAGUAGAGUUGAAAAUGACUCCAGUUUAAACUUUUGUCAGUGAUGAAGCGAAAGCUCUCAGGCUGUUGAUCCCCCCACAGCAUGACUCAGAUACAGUGUGGCCCUUUUCCAGACAAGACAUUAAGACAUCGGAGUUAAAGCUAAAAAGUUGUGAUAAAGAGAAAAGAAGAUAAAGACAAGAGACUCCUGGACAGACAAGGAGGGUCUGGAAUUUGUUUAAUGAGUAUCAACUUGGUGACCAUUUUAAGAAAAAUGUUCGGAGCGUGUCUGUCGGAAUUUCUGUCCAUUCAUCCAGAAGAACCAUUCUAAAGAGUAAACAGAGUUCCAAAGUGUCCUUCAUGGAAAGACUUUUGGAGGCUGCCUGACAGACGACGGUUGCAGUGCUAGCUAGCCUUCAACAUGAAAGCUGUCAGUGGUGUUGCUGUUCCCUCACAGAUCAGGCCUCCCUCUGCUGAAAGGAGAGACAUGCUGACAUGGUGACCUGUGAAUGAAAUUGAAGUGGAUAGAUGGGCACAGUGGAUAAAGGCUGAAAGGAUGCUGUGUCAUCAUCUGCUUGAUGCUCACUACUUGGCCUACUUUCAGCUGCUAGGGUUGGUUUCAAAUGGAAAAUUCAGAACUUCGCAGCGUGAUUAGCUUAAUUGUACCCUGGUUUAAAUAUUUGUUCUACUUCAACUGUUUUUACUGAGCUCAAACUCCAUGAAACAUACCAGACAUCAGACCUAGCUUUAAACCGUGCAGGAUUUUGGCAGUGUCUCUCACAGUCUAGUGGCUCCCCUCUUCCUUCUCUCCUUCUCCUACUAUCUCAGAAAGACAUAUGUAUGACAUAUAUACAGUUCUGGUCAAAAGUUUACAUACACUUGUGAAGAACAUAAUGCCAUGGCGCUCUUGAGUUUCCAGUUAUUUCUACAACUCUGAUUUUUCUCUGAUAGAGUGAUUGGAGCAGAUACUUCUUUGUCACAAAAAACAUUCAUGAAGUUUGGUUCUUUUAUGACUUUAUUAUGGGUGAACAGAAAAAAGUGAUCAAAUCUGCUGGGUUAAAAAUAUACAUACAGCAGCGCUAAUAUUUGGUAACAUGUCCCUUGGCCAUUUUCACUUCAAUUAGGCGCUUUUGGUAGCCAUCCACAAGCUUCUGGCAAGCUUCUGGUUGAAUCUUUGACCACUCCUCUUGACAGAAUUGGUGCAGUUCAGUUAAAUUUGAUGGCUUUCUGACAUGGACUUGUUUCUUCAGCAUUGUCUACAAGUUCUCAAUGGGGUUUAAGUCAGGACUUUGGGAAGGCCAUUCGAAAACCUUAAUUCUAGCCUGAUUUAGCCAUUCCAUUACCACUUUUGAUGUGUGUUUGGGGUCAUUGUCCUGUUGGAACACCGAACUGCGCCCAAGACCCAAUGUUCGGGCUGAUGACGUCAGGUUAUCUUGAAGAAUUUGAAGGUAAUCCUCCUUCUUCAUUAUCCCAUUUACUCUCUGUAAAGCACCACUUCCAUUGGCAGCAAAACAGCCCCACAGCAUAAUACUACCACCACCGUGCUUGACGGUAGGCAUGGUGUACUUGGGGUUAAAGGCCUCACCUUUUCUCCUCCAAACAUAUUGCUGGGCAUUGUGGCCAAACAGCUCGAUUUUUGUUUCGUCUGACCACAGAACUUUCCUCCAGAAGGUCUUAUCUUUGUCCAUGUGAUCAGCAGCAAACUUCAGUCGAGCCUUAAGGUGCUGCUUUUGGAGCAAGGGCUUCCUUCUUGCACGGCAGCCUCUCAGUCAAGGGAGAUGCAAAACACGCUUGACUGUGGACACUGACACCUGUGUUCCAGCAGCUUCUAGUUCUUGGCAGAUCUCUUUUUUGGUGAUUCUCGGUUGAAUCUUCACCCUCCUGACCAAUUUUCUCUCAGCAGCAGGUGAUGGCUUGCAUUUUCUUCCUGACUGUGGCAGUGACAAAACAGUGCCAUGCACUUUAUACUGACAAACAAUUGUUUGCACUGUUGCUCUAGGGACCUGCAGCUGCUUUGAAAUGGCUCCAAGUGACUUUCCGGACUUGUUCAAGUCAAUGAUUAUUCAAGUCAAUAAUCACUCACAAGAAAUUGCUAAUUCGUGUUGCUGUAUGUAUAUUUUUGACCCAGCAGAUUUGAUCACUUUU